rnacentral:rRNA from 1 species
CGCACGGGUGAGUAACACGUAUCCAACCUGCCGUCUACUCUUGGACAGCCUUCUGAAAGGAAGAUUAAUACAAGAUGGCAUCAUGAGUCCGCAUGUUCACAUGAUUAAAGGUAUUCCGGUAGACGAUGGGGAUGCGUUCCAUUAGAUAGUAGGCGGGGUAACGGCCCACCAAACCUUCGAUGGAUAGGGGUUCUGAGAGGAAGGUCCCCCACAUUGGAACUGAGACACGGUCCAA